rnacentral:tRNA from 1 species
UUUUGUUAAGUGAAGAUUUUGAAAAUCAUCCAAGAAUAAAAUUAUUCAACAAAAA